rnacentral:rRNA from 1 species
CCCUUAGAUGUUCUGGGCCGCACGCGCGCUACACUGACGAAUGCAACGAGCUUAUAACCUUGUCCGAAAGGUCUGGGUAAUCUCCAAAUUUCGUCGUGAUGGGGAUAGAUUAUUGCAAUUAUUAAUCUUCAACGAGGAAUGCCUAGUAAGCGCAAGUCAUCAGCUUGCGUUGAUUACGUCCCUGCCCUUUGUACACACCGCCCGUCGCUCCUACCGAUUGAAUGGUCCGGUGAAGCCUCCGGAUUGGCGCGCACCUCGGUGCCGCCGAGAAGUUGGCUAAACCUUACCAUUUAGAGGAAGGUGAAGUCGUAACA